AAGACAUUUAUAGAGUGCUCUUACACUGUGCAACGGCUCACAAAAAGAAGUCAUGGAUUCCCUCUGAUUGGAGGUUGUCUUUAAAAACAGUUCUGCCACAUGGAGAAAAGAGAGGAGCAAUUCUAAUAUUGACAAUGGUCUAGAAGUACCUGUGGAUUCUGGCUAAACUUCAUGAGACUGUGUACCUUUUGUGGCUACUGUGGGCUCAAGCUCAGCCACCUUCUCAGAGCCACUCAGAAAAUGAAGAGGAAAAAUAUCUAAGGGUUCCAGUCACAGAGAAACUAAGAAUCAUGCUUUUCCUUGCUGUUGUGAACUCAUGUUUGUUACAUAGAUUACAGACCUACAAAGGAACACCUUAUUCCUAGCUCUGUGCUGACCAGACCUUUUCACUGGGUCCCUAACCCUUGCUCACAGCCUUCCCCACUCUCUAGGACCUAUAGCUGUUCUAGAACUAUAAUCCUGGCUUGAGCCUAGGUUCUUAGGUACCACCUCUGUCUUGCUUGUGGUAUGGAAUUUGCGAUAUUUUUGCUAUCCAUUCUAACACC